rnacentral:rRNA from 1 species
CGCAGCCGCGGUAAUUCCAGCUCCAAUAGCGUAUAUUAAAGUUGUUGCAGUUAAAAAGCUCGUAGUUGAAUUUCGAGACCGGUUUAUUGGUCGUGCUUUUGUACGUACUGGUAUUAUUGGUUUCUCCUUUCUGACGAAUCUUAAUGCCAUUAAUUUGGUGUUUUGAGGAAUCAGGACUGUUACUUUGAAAAAAUUAGAGUGUUUAAAGCAGGCUCACGCUUGAAUACAUUAGCAUGGAAUAACGGAAUAGGACGUUUGAUUCUAUUUUGUUGGUUUCUAGGAUCGACGUAAUGAUUAAUAGGGAUAGUUGGGGGCAUUAGUAUUCAAUUGUCAGAGGUGAAAUUCUUGGAUUUAUUGAAGACUAACUACUGCGAAAGCAUUUGCCAAGGAUGUUUUCAUUAAUCAAGAACGAAAGUUAGGGGAUCGAAGACGAUCAGAUACCGUCGUAGU